CUGGGAGCCAAUGUGAUUGUGUAUUUAUUUCUACUGUGGUUUACUCUCAGUGCUUAUGGUGCUCGCAAGUACUAGGAAGCAGCUUUUGACGGAGGUAACUGGUUAGGGUGCCAGGCGGUCCGUCACAAUGAUUCAAUAGCUUGUAGAACUACAUAAUCAUUUUUUGUAUGACUCCAUCAGUCUCUCACCUUGAUGUAGAGUAAUUUUGCUUCAGUUCAUGGAGGUUUGCUGGCAUUUUGUUUAUGCACAACUCUCUUACAGUCCCACCACAGAAUUUAAGUCUUGUUGAGGUCUGGACUUUGACAUGUCACAUGACCCAUCCAAACUUUUGGUUUAUACUUAAUGCAGGAGGUCAAGGAGAAGAUCUGGAAAUGGGAG